rnacentral:rRNA from 1 species
GACGAACGCUGGCGGCGUGCUUAACACAUGCAAGUCGAACGGAAAGGCCCUGCUUUUGUGGGUGCCCGGGUGGCGAACGGGGGGGUAACCCGGUAGUAACCUGCCCCUGACCUUGGGAUUACUUCAGGAAACUGGGGCUAAUAACGGAUAGGAACUCCUUCCGCCUGGUGGGGGGUGGGAAGUUUCGGCGGUUGGGGAUGGACUCGCGGCUUAUCAGCUUGUUGGUGGGGUAGUGGCUUACCAAGGCUUUGACGGGUAGCCGGCCUGAGAGGGUGACCGGCCACAUUGGGACUGAGAUACGGCCCAGACUCCUACGGGAGGCAGCAGUGGGGAAUAUUGCACAAUGGGCGGAAGCCUGAUGCAGCAACGCCGCGUGCGGGAUGACGGCCUUCGGGUUGUAAACCGCUUUCGCCUGUGACGAAGCGUGAGUGACGGUAAUGGGUAAAGAAGCACCGGCUAACUACGUG